GUGCCAUUAGCUCAGCUGGUAGAGCAUCUGACUUUUAAUCAGAGGGUCAGAGGUUCGAAUCCUCUAUGGCUCA
rnacentral:tRNA from 1 species